rnacentral:piRNA from 1 species
UUACUUUAUUCCCAUAAAAAA